GACAGAGGGGGCAAGCGUUGCUCGGAAUUACUGGGCGUAAAGGGCGCGUAGGCGGGAUGGCAAGUCGGUCGUGAAAUCCCUCGGCUCAACCGAGGAACGUCGAUCGAUACUGCUGUUCUUGAGGAUUGCAGAGGAGACUGGAAUUCCCGGUGUAGCGGUGAAAUGCUUAGAUAUCGUCAAGAACACCGAUAGUGAAGACAGCUUACCAAGCUUCAACUGACGCUGAGGCACGAAAGUGUGGGGAUCAAACAGG
rnacentral:rRNA from 1 species